AUUUAUAUAGUUUAAAAAAAACCUUGUAUUUUCAUUACAAAAUUAAGACCUCUUUAUAAAUU
rnacentral:tRNA from 1 species